rnacentral:rRNA from 1 species
AGUGAACGCUGGCGGUAGGCCUAACACAUGCGAGUCGAACGGCAGCACAGUAAGAGCUUGCUCUUACGGGUGGCGAGUGGCGGACGGGUGAGGAAUACAUCGGAAUCUACUUUUUCGUGGGGGAUAACGUAGCGAAACUUACGCUAAUACCGCAUACGACCUACGGGUGAAAGCAGGGGAUCUUCGGACCUUGCGCGAUUGAAUGAGCCGAUGUCGGAUUAGCUAGUUGGCGGGGUAAAGGCCCACCAAGGCGACGAUCCGUAGCUGGUCUGAGAGGAUGAUCAGCCACACUGGAACUGAGACACGGUCCAGACUCCUACGGGAGGCAGCAGUGGGGAAUAUUGGACAAUGGGCGCAAGCCUGAUCCAGCCAUACCGCGUGGGUGAAGAAGGCCUUCGGGUUGUAAAGCCCUUUUGUUGGGAAAGAAAAGCAGCAGGUUAAUACCCCGCUGUUCUGACGGUACCCAAAGAAUAAGCACCGGCUAACUUCGUG